rnacentral:lncRNA from 1 species
CUUUCCAUUUUUAACCGGAUUUUUGUGACAAAAAUGUCGGUUAUUGAUUUGGGGAUGUACGGCUGGGCAGUCGGGCGGGCGGCAAUCAAAUGUUGUCCGUGCAUUAACUCAUGAACCGUUCAACCAAAGCUUUUAAAAUUUUAAUAUGUUGUUACUGACAACUAAAUGAAGGUCAAGUUCAAUAAUGGCGAUUUUGACUUUUACCGUUCAGGAGUUAUGGUUCUUGAAAGAUUGAAAAAUGGAGUUUCUAGUCGUGUCCGUUCAUUUACACAUGAACUGUUCUUCCAAAGCUUCCC